CGGUGUCCGACACUGCCGCGGAAGGCGGGUCGGUUUCGGAGGGGGUCGGGUCAGUGGUCGGCGGCCACCGGCGCCGACUCUGGACACGCGCCGGGCCCUUCUCGCGGAUCUCCCCAGCGGCGGACCGCCGCGGGCCCGGUCGAGGCGGG